rnacentral:rRNA from 1 species
GACGUAGGGCGCGAGCGUCGUCCGGAUUUAUUGGGCGUAAAGAGCUCGUAGGCGGCUCGUCGCGUCUGCCGUGAAAACCCGCAGCUCAACUGCGGGCUUGCGGUUGAUACGGGCGGGCUAGAGUUCGGUAGGGGAGACUGGAAUUCCUGGUGUAGCGGUGAAAUGCGCAGAUAUCAGGAGGAACACCGGUGGCGAAGGCGGAUCUCUGGGCCAUUACUGACGCUGAGGAGCGAAAGCGUGGGGAGCGAACAGG